rnacentral:rRNA from 1 species
UACGUAGGGGGCAAGCGUUGUCCGGAAUCAUUGGGCGUAAAGCGCGCGUAGGCGGCCCGGUAAGUCCGUUGUGAAAGUCAAAGGCUCAACCUUUGAACGCCGAUGGAUACUGCCGGGCUAGAGUCCGGAAGAGGCGAGUGGAAUUCCUGGUGUAGCGGUGGAAUGCGCAGAUAUCAGGAGGAACACCAGUGGCGAAGGCGGCUCUCUGGACCGGUUCUGACGCUCAGGCGCGAAAGCGUGGGGAGCGAUCCGG